AAGGUAAUGUUUUAAUAUAAUUGGUACAGAAUUUGGAUUUAAUUCUUUAGAAGGGAUGUCCAAACCAAAUAAGCACUUAUUAGUACUGUUCUCUGUCACCUUAAAACAAUGUAAGUCUAAGUAUUUUCAAGGGUUAGAGCUCAGGAGUCUCUAGGAGUUUCCCAGAAUCCUUGCGAUUCUUGUCCACCAGGUACAAGGUGGGAGAGGGUGGGGUAGGGGCAUAGCAGCCAGGAGCAGAGGUCUUAGAUGAGUUUAUCUUUAAUGUAAACACAUAGAAAGAAAAAUAAUUAAGAAUUUUUCCCUAUCGUCUCUUACCCUGCACUCCUGUUGUUUAUGGCCACAAUCCAUCAGCUUCUAGUAGAUAAUGAUGUUAACAGCCUCGUGUGCAUCUUUGAAUACUUCUCUUCAUGCUACACAUCUGUAUGUUUAUUAAAACAUAUAUGCACAUGUAUAAUUUUG
rnacentral:lncRNA from 1 species